CUCUAAGAACCAUUUGCUUUGUUCAAAGCCAGUGGUUCUCAAACCUGUCUAAUCACAAUGGCCUAGAGAGUUUGUUUUCUUUCUUUCUUUUUAAUGCCAAUUCCUAGGACUUAGAGCUGCUGAGGCAAACCCUCUGUGAGUGGGGACAGGGGUAGUAGAGAUGCUCUUACAGCUUCCCAGGUAAUACUGGUGACCAGACAAGUUCCAGAACCAUGAUUCCAGACUCUGCUCCCUCUAGCUGCUCUGAUGAUCUUGCUGUUAAAUUGACUACCCUUCUCUGGAAAAGUAAUCCACUUAAAAAGAAAAAUAAAUAGCAAUAAAAUUCUUAUGGAACAGUUUUGAGAGAAGGCUGGAAAGAAUGAAGCCAGAGGAUUAGCUUUGCAUUUUAUCAUGUUCUUCCUCAUUUUCACAAAUAACCAACUGAAAUGCAGAUCAGCACUUCAUACACUUAAAGAAAAACUUCACACAAUCUAUAUUUCAUCUAGAAAGAUAUCCAUGACAAACCCACAUUUAGGUGACAAAAGCUAAUUACUUUAAAAUUGGACUGUUUUCAAUGUAUGUUGUAUAUAUGAAUUAAUGAAAUACACCAAAAAGUUACGUAUCUCUGGGCAGUGAUGACCUAUUUUUAUCUUUGUACUUUUUUUGGUAUUUUCUAAUGUUUGGCAAUGGAUAUUAAUAACUAGCAAGAUAAUAAAGCUAUUUAAAAGUUUAAACAUAACUAUGCUCAGCAAUGUUAAAUUAAGAAGUUCCAUGAAGUUUUUCCUGGCCUUUAGCCCUUCAUACGUAUUGCCUAGCUUAUGGAUUCUUUUUUCCCUGUCCUCUCCUUACAGAUAGGAGGUAUAUGUAUACUAUAAUGACAUUUCUCAAUCUGGCUUCAGUAAUUUUUCACAGCAGCUCUAAGCACAUAGGCAAAUGGUCAUUAACACAAAAUGGAUAAUGUAAGAACAUUCACAGAAUUUAUUAGUCCUGAGAUUUUUCUGGAAGGCCUACACACUUAGAACAAACAAAUGAAAGCUAAAGCUAUAUUUGUGAGCCUAAUAUUAGUUAACAGGCAGGAUUUUUAGAGAAGUGUUCUGCUAAGUAAGUUAUGUCUGGGUAAGCUAUUUAAAGUAGUUUUAUGGAGGAUUUUUAUUGUUUUGUGGCUUUGUUUUGCAUUUUUUACUUUUUGCUGUUAUAGAAAGACAGUUUUAGGAUUUGGUGAGUUCCUGGCCAAAAGUUAGAAAAUCAUCAUUUGCUCAAACUCCCCGGCUAAGUUUACUAUGGCAAACCGUGAUAAGAAGCGUGGAGGAGGGCGACAGAAUGCAGACACACUGCAGUUUCCCCCAGGCUAAACAACACAAUCCGUAACGUCAAGGUGCUGUUCCCACAAGCUGCCCCAGUCCUUGGGGCAUUUGUGCGGGAUGAAAAGAUCAAAAGAUAACGGAUACUAGAGCUAAAGCUGACUCACAGUUAAGAGUUUCUGGUUUGGGAUGCUAAUUACCAAAAUAAGCUUUGGCUGAGAAGCACUGAGCAAAUCUCCACCAGCCGAGGCUUCCCUGGGGCCAGAUUCAGCUCAGCAGUCAGCCAGCUAGCCCUCCUCUGGCGUCUCCAUUUUCAGCGAUGCCCGAAGGACCACGCAGCCCAACCGCCCUGCAGCUGUGCGCUCCCCUCCGCUCUGGUGCGGGGCGUCUGCGGCGAACCUACCUGGUGCAGCUCAUUGGGCCACCGGGCGGCGGCGGACCCGCGCAAGUUCGCGCCCAGCUCGCGGCCACCUCCGUUCGGCAGGAGCUCGGGCGGAUGGAGGGUGCGGCGGGGAGAGGCCGCUUAUCUGCCCCGGACCACGUGAGCCCGUCCUUCGCACCAAUCCCCGAGCGGCUGGCCCCGCGGCACGACCUAUCAGCGCCCGGCUAGGGCGCGAGCCCUCGCGCUGGGAACGUGAUCGCCGUGGUCCGCGGGGGAGCGCGGGGGACCCGGCCCGGCCCGCAGCUGCAGCGCGCUCGUGGUCAAUCCAAGUCUCUCAACUCCGUUCUGAUGUCCUUUGGCAGUGAGGUGGAAACCAAAAUGUCAAAAUAUCUCCCUAUGAUAAAUCUAAAACUCAGACUGAGCUGUUUACCAGGGACUGGUUAGGUCAGAGCCAAAAUUGGAACAGAAGAAUGUGGAGACUCCUGGGUGGCUCAGCAGUGGAGUG